rnacentral:lncRNA from 10 species
CAGUCUGGACAGAGGCAGGAACCGUACCUAAAGAAGGAGUCAAAGUUGGAACUCAGGAAGUGGCUGUCCAUCUUGCCCAUCCUCCCACCAGGCUGGAAGUCAGGCUACCCAGAGGCAAGGCUAUGGGCCUGGCACUUUGCAGGUUCUCCCGGGAACUUCUGUCCCAGGUCCCAAAGGUUCAGCAAAGGACCAGCACAGGCUUUGGUCUUAGGCUUGGCUGGCUGACCUUGCAAAGACCACCCUAGUCACUUUCCUGGUCUCUGGGGGAAUGGCUACAAAGGUUUUCUCAGAAGCUAUUUGGAGCCUUGGCUAAAUGGACUUGGGGAAGCGGGGUGUUGUCCAAGGGGGGCUAUUUAUAUAUCUUUUCUUUCUUUUUUUUUUUUGUUUUGAGACGGAGUUUCACUCUUAUUGCCCAGGCUUGAGUGCAAUGGCAUGAUCUCGGCUCACCGCAACCUCUGCCUCCCAGGUUCAAGCAAUUCUCCUGCCUCAGGAUUUCCUUCCUUUGGCUACCUUGCGAUGAACUGUUCUGUCUUGCGCAAUUUUAAAACUUGCCCAGGCUGGAGUGCAGUGGCGCGAUCUCAGCUCACCGCAACCUCCGCCUCCCAGGUUCAAGCGAUUCUCCUGCCUCAGCCUUCCCAAGUAGCUGGGAUUAUAG